CAUGUGACAAGAAACUGAGGGUGGCUUCUGGCUACCAGCCAGCUUGAACUGAGUCUCACAGUCUAAUAUCCCAAAGGAAAUUAAUCCUGCCAACAACAUAAAAAGAAAAAGAAUGGAUUUUCCAGUCUCUUUGACCCCUGAGAUCUCAAAGCCCCUGUGAAGAUCGAUCAGUUGGCAUGGCUGGAUUCAGACUUCCCAGGCCAAGAGGACUUGAAGAAAUGAUCAGAUGAAUCUCAGAAACUCAGAGUUUGAAUAAUAGUUGUCGGUUAUUGCACACUUGCUGUGUGCCAGGCAUGGUGCUCACUGCUGCCCAUGGAUCAUUUCACCUAAUUUCAUCUACCAGCCUGAUAUCUGCACAUGUGAGAACCUGAGACGUAGGGAGUUUGCACGGCUUUAGCUUUCGCAGAAGGAGUAACACAGGGUCAUACCAACUUACUCCAGUUACCAAUUCUGUGACCUCAGAUGCCAAAACUCGAGGCGCAGAAAACCUAAGUAACUUGCUCAGGAUGCCAUACAGCAAGUGAGGGGCAGAGCCAGGAUUCUGUCUGAGCCCUCUGGUGGUUGGGCACCAUCAGCUCCAGGAAGCCUCUUCUAUGUGCUCCAGAAUUGGUUGCAUGGGGAGCCCCUAUGAACUUCACCUUCCUGAGCCUCAGUUUUCUGUAAAAUGGAUAUGAUAGCAACCACUCUUGCCUUACUUUAUACACAGUGCUGUUGGCAAAACCAAAUGAGAUGAGCUGCAAAAUGAAUGACUAUAUAUUAUUAAUUAAAUUGUUAUAAAACCCAGCUCCUAUUUAUCAAGCAUCUGUGGGGAGCAAAUUCCUGCUUAUUGGGUCUUAUUUAAUUACCAAACCACUCUGUGCUGUAGGUGCUAUUGCGAUUCCAGAGAGCCUGGCACAGAGACAACAGUCAAGAAACUU
rnacentral:lncRNA from 1 species